rnacentral:rRNA from 1 species
UACGUAGGGGGCUAGCGUUGUCCGGAUUUAUUGGGCGUAAAGAGCGUGUAGGCGGCCAGGUAGGUCUGCUGUGAAAACUCGAGGCUCAACCUCGAGACGUCGGCGGAAACCAUCUGGCUAGAGUCCGGAAGAGGAGAGUGGAAUUCCUGGUGUAGCGGUGAAAUGCGCAGAUAUCAGGAAGAACACCCGUGGCGAAGGCGGCUCUCUGGGACGGUACUGACGCUGAGACGCGAAAAGCGUGGGGAGCAAACAGG